GACGAACGCUGGCGGCGUGCUUAACACAUGCAAGUCGAACGAUGAAGCCGGAGCUUGCUCUGGUGAAUUAGUGGCGAACGGGUGAGUAACACGUGAGUAACCUGCCCUUGACUCUGGGAUAACUGCGGGAAACUGUAGCUAAUACCGGAUACGACCAUCGGAGGCAUCUCCUGGGGGUGGAAAGAAUUUCGGUCAAGGAUGGACUCGCGGCCUAUCAGCUAGUUGGUGAGGUAAAGGCUCACCAAGGCGACGACGGGUAGCCGGCCUGAGAGGGUAACCGGCCACACUGGGACUGAGACACGGCCCAGACUCCGACGGGAGGCAGCAGUGGGGAAUAUUGCACAAUGGGCGCAAGCCUGAUGCAGCAACGCCGCGUGAGGGAUGACGGCCUUCGGGUUGUAAACCCCUUUUAGCAGGGAAGAAGCGAAAGUGACGGUACCUGCAGAAAAAGCACCGGCUAACUACGUGCCAGCAGCCGCCGUAA
rnacentral:rRNA from 1 species